rnacentral:rRNA from 1 species
ACGUAGGGGUCUAGCGUUGUCCGGAAUCAUUGGGCGUAAAGAGCUCGUAGGCGGUUCGGCAAGUCGGAUGUGAAAUCUCCACGCUCAACGUGGAGGGGCCAUUCGAAACUGCCGUGACUCGAGUCCGGUAGGGGAGUGCGGAAUUCCCGGUGUAGCGGUGGAAUGCGUAGAGAUCGGGAAGAACAUCAGUGGCGAAGGCGGCCUGCUGGUCUGUUGCUGACGCUGAGGCGCGACAGCGUGGGGAGCAAACAGGA